rnacentral:rRNA from 1 species
AAUCAACGCUGGCGGCGUGCCUAACACAUGCAAGUCGAACGCGAAAGCCCCUUCGGGGGUUAGUAGAGUGGCGUCCGGGUGAGUAACACGUGGGUAAUCUGCCUUCGGGUGGGGAAUAACCCAGGGAAACUUGGGCUAAUACCGCAUAAUGCAGCGGCACCUAAUGGUGAUUAGUUGUUAAAGCGGGGGAUCGCAAGACCUCGCGCCUGAAGAGGAGCCUGCGGCAGAUUAGCAGUUGGUGAGGUAAUGGCUCACCAAGGCUUCGAUCUGUAGCUGGUCUGAGAGGACGGCCAGCCACACUGGCACUGACACACGGGCCAGACUCCUACGGGAGGCAGCAGUGGGGAAUUUUGGGCAAUGGGCGAAAGCCUGACGCAGCGACGCCGCGUGA